CCUCCCGGUGGCUGGGCCAGUCAGAGCCCAGCACAUGGCCAUUCAUCCAAAGCAACCUCUUACACUUGGUUGAUUGGUGAGUUGGAGGCUCCACUGGCCCCUGUCAGACUUGAGACCUCACACCUGCCCACCACAGCCAGUUUCCCACACAGCCUGGGACUGACUGGGUGAUGGAGAAGGAUCCUUACCAUGGAAUCUUAUCCAGGUCCAGCCCCAGGGUUGCAAAGAUUGAUGCCUGGAAGCUGGGACUCCAGCCCAAGCUGGGGGAGGAUCCUUUCCCCUCUGGGCUCCUGUGUUUCCACCUAAGGCCCAGUUCACCCAUGAGCCAGGCAUCUGCUGGCAGAUGAGAACAAGACAUGGUCUCAGGAAGUCUGCAGGCAGACCCCCGGCCUUCCAGGAUGAGACCUGAGGCCAUGCCGCAUUCCUGGCCUGGCCAUGUCUGUUCAUAGAAUUGCCUCCACGUUGGCCAGCCCCACGCCUCCAGACUCUAUGUCUACACAGCUCACCUUGGUAAUCUCGGGGCCAGAGGACAGAAGCAGCUUAUGUUGGGAAGGGGCAUCUGAGAAGGAGGAGCAGGUCUGUUUGUCAAGAAUCCAAGCACGCCUGUGCUCUGUGGCCACAGGGAGAGGAGGGGCCGCUUUUAAAUACAAGCCUACUCCUGUCGUUGGACCACAACAAAGACCCACUGGACAGAAGCACAUGAGAGGAGGAGUUUCACUCAUCGCCCAGACUAGAGCGCAAUGGUUCGAUCUUGGCUCACUGCAACUUCCACCUCCCGAGUUCAAGCGAUUCUCCUGACAGAAGUCCACUCAAGCCAGCCAUUG
rnacentral:antisense_RNA from 1 species